rnacentral:rRNA from 1 species
CUGGCGGAAUGCUUUACACAUGCAAGUCGAGCGGCAGCGCGGGGCAACCUGGCGGCGAGCGGCGAACGGGUGAGUAACAUAUCGGAACGUAUCCUUUAGUGGGGGAUAACGCAGCGAAAGCUGUGCUAAUACCGCAUACGAUCGGGAGAUGAAAGCGGGGGAUCGCAAGACCUCGCGCUAAAGGAGUGGCCGAUAUCAGAUUAGCUAGUUGGUGAGGUAAAGGCUCACCAAGGCGACGAUCUGUAGCUGGUCUGAGAGGAUGAUCAGCCACACUGGAACUGAGACACGGUCCAGACUCNUACGGGAGGCAGCAGUGGGGAAUUUUGGACAAUGGGGGCAACCCUGAUCCAGCCAUUCCGCGUGAGUGAAGAAGGCCUUCGGGUUGUAAAGCUCUUUUGUUGGGGACGAAAACGGUUACGGUUAAUACCCGNUGACAACUGACNGGUACCCGAAGAAUNAAGCANCGGGCUAACUACGUUGCCAGCAGCCGCGGUAAUACGUAGGGUGCGAGCGUUUAAUCGG